rfam:Schistosoma rodhaini strain Burundi genome assembly, scaffold: SROB_scaffold0001765
ACAAAGGCUCUUCUUAGAGUCACCCAAAAAUAUAUUUGAAUAUAUU